GAUAAUUUAUAUUGGAAAAGUCAAAUCAAUGGUCUAGAUCUAGAAUGUUAGUUAUCAAAUAAGUAGGUAUACUAUGGACGUUGUAUGAUAGUAAUAUUAUAUAAUAAAUUCAAAGUGCUGCAGAGAAAUUUCAUUACUUAAAACUCAAAAACAAACCGUAAAAAAAAUCAAUUCCAUUACGAAAACAAUACCAUUACAAAGUUAUAAACGUUCAAGCAAGAUCCUAUACAUUAUUAUGUAUUAUACAUAAAUAGGUUUUAGCUAUGAGCAUUUCUAAAUCGAAAAAUAAGUAAAUUAAAAUUAUCUACUUAUACUAUACCCGAAAUAAUGCGUUAACGACCAACGUAAGUAGGUACAAUGUAAUAAUUUCGAGGAAAUGACCGACAUAAUAACAGAGUAACAGACUUGGGUAGUAUUCUGAAUAUUUUUUUUUUAAGUAUUCAAUACGGUAUUUUGAAUACUUCUUACAGGUAUUUUGAAUACAGUAUUCGAAAUACUUUUUUAACGUCCAAUCACACUUAAAAAAUAAUUGUACUACUUUUUUCGUUAUUGAAGCUUUUGCACUUGUAUAUAACUAUAUAAAUAAAACGAGAUUAUUAUAAUAUUCAUUUAUAAACAAUGAAUUGAAAAAAAAAUAUGUUUUUGUCAUUGAAAUCUAAAUCUACUAAAAAAAGUAUUCGAAAAAUAUUAUUAUAAAGUAUUUGGAAUAUGUAUUCAAAAUACUUUUAAAAUGUAUUUUACCCAAGUCUGUAUUUAAUUAAUAUAGGCAUACAUUCGGUUUUGCAGUCAUUAGUCACUCAACACCAACUCCAUUUUUAUUUGCUUAUGCAUAAACUCUAUAAUUUUUUCUAAAAAUUAUUUUAAAGUAGUUAUCGGAUAAAAUAAUAACAAAAUCGUUUACAGCGUUUUCCCUCAUUGACUCAGUAUUAAGGCUGACCAUUCAUGGCAAUUGAGGAAUAUG